GAUGAACGCUGGCGGCGUGCUUAACACAUGCAAGUCGAGCGAGAUUAUUCUUCGGAAUAGUCUAGCGGCGGACGGGUGAGUAACACGUGGGCAACCUGCCUUGUAGAGGGGGAUAGCCUUCCGAAAGGAAGAUUAAUACCGCAUAAUGUUAUUGAAAGGCAUCUUUCGAUGAUCAAAGGAGCAAUCCACUACAAGAUGGGCCCGCGGCGCAUUAGCUAGUUGGUGAGGUAACGGCUCACCAAGGCGACGAUGCGUAGCCGACCUGAGAGGGUGAUCGGCCACAUUGGGACUGAGAAACGGCCCAGACUCCUACGGGAGGCAGCAGUGGGGAAUAUUGCACAAUGGGGGAAACCCUGAUGCAGCAACGCCGCGUGAGUGAUGACGGCCUUCGGGUUGUAAAGCUCUGUCUUUGGGGACGAUAAUGACGGUACCCAAGGAGGAAGUCACGGCUAACUACGUGCCAGCCGCCGCGGUAA
rnacentral:rRNA from 1 species